rnacentral:lncRNA from 1 species
GAGAGACAGAGACCAACAGAGCAUUGACACAGGUCCACAGAGACAGAGCUAGAGACAGAGAGAGCGUGCACGGCGCACAUGUAUAUAAAGCCUGUGGGGCGCCUUUUCUUUUCACAUAGUGUGAUCCAGUCCUAUCAAUUACUAGGAUAUUGGCAUUUGUGAUCAUUGCGUCGUCUGGAAUUUUUUUCUGGAAAAAAGAGGAAACACAGCCAUCUGCCCAGAGCCAUCCAGAAUAUGUCCCAGAGGCCUGUCUGUGUGUACGCGCACUCAGAAGCCUGGGGGCCCUUUCCUUGUCUAAAUGUAGCUCCCCCACCGCGUCCCACCCCUGCACAGGAGCGAGGCCUGUGUCAACUUCAGCAGAGCGAGAAUGAGGACAGGCCCAGGGGCAGGGAACUGGACGAAGGGAGUUGGAGGCCUUUUCUUGGGAAUGGGUGGACCAUUGCCCUGCAUGGGGACAGGGACGGCACUGGUGGGGGAAGGAAAUCUUGAGCUGGUUUCGGCCUUGACCCUCAGCAGCUAGCCCCGGGAGCUCUCAUUCUCUGGACGCCAGGGCCUUGGGUUCCUUGGAUGAGGUGAGCAUGAGCAUGUGGGGUAAGUGUUCAUGUUUGUGCAUGUAUGUGUCUGUAUGAAAGAGAGUGAGAAUACGAGAACAUGCCUGUCCUGACUCACAGAGUUGGUGAAAUAAAAUCAAAGACCCAAUGAAAAAGCUCUUGAAAAGGUAAGAGGUCUGCCCAGAGCCAAGGUUUGUUGCCGAUCCUGGGAUUAGCUGACUUCUGGGCAUUUGGAGCCUGCAGCCGUCUGGACAUGAUCUGGGGACAAGUGGAGGCCAAGAACUGAAUAUCAGAGAGAGUCUCAGAGAGAAGGAAUGUGGACUAUGGCAGGUUGCCAGGGAUCACUCAUGCACACGGAUGUUUUGUUUCAUUUUUUAGAAACUUUGGGAGAGGAAAUAAGGGGGAGAAAAUGUAGAAUAUAUUGCAUUUCAGAACUUAGGAUGCCAACAACAAAUUGUACAACUGCUGAAGCUUAUUAUGGGGGUUUGUUAACAUGUGAACUUAAAUGCACCAAUCCUAUCCCUUGCCUCCAUUCAUUUAACUGUUUAAUAAAUAUUUGUUGAAUGCCUAAGAUUGAUUAAUUAAUUCAGCCAAUCACAGAUACUAUCACCCUCUUGCUGCAUACAUAGCAUUGUGCUAGAGUUGAUAUAAUGUCUAACAUGUUUGAGGAAUUAUUUCAUUCUGGAAAUUAUUCUUUCCACCUCUUCAGCAUCCUAGGAGAACUCCAAAUAAACCUUAGCAUCUUAUUUCAAUAUUUUUACAUCACUUGUUUAAAAUUUCUUAAAACCAAACCGGGUUUAUUUAUGUCAAAGUAUACGCAAAAUGUAUGUGCACGAGAGAUGCCAUCUGCAAAUAUAAAAGUCUGUAAACCAAGUCCCUGCCCAUGAUGGGGUGACACAGGGUGGAAAGCGUGUGCAGGCUUGCAUUCUUAUAAAUAUGGAUGAAAUGCACAUUCAAGAAUGGUUUGGAAAUGAUUAUUUCCUCCAUUUGUUGGCCAAAUGUACCAAAUCCUUAUCUUGGCCUCUUCCUUCUUUUGUUUGGAAAGCCCCACGUUGUCCUUGUCAACUUCCUCACUCAUGCUGGUCUCUGGAAUGAAUUGUUCCACCUCUCCCUGGGCUAUUCACUGCAACCAAGGACAUCUUAGCAAUGUGAUAUAUUUUCCCCUCUCCGAAGUCAAAUAGAUGUUUUAUAUCCAAUGGGCCAGAUUGUGCAGGAGCUUGUCUUCACCCCCACAGGCCACAGGCUGGAGCCUUCCUGGAACAGAGGCUACAUUGGCUGUCUUUUGACAAAGGUGCAUCCCAGCACAGAAGGGCAGCACAGAGGCAGCCUGAGAAGAUUCUGUCGCUGCCAGGUCACCAGGACCUCUGGACCACAGCUGGGUUGCGCUGUUUUCCAGUUUGUGAAACUAGGACUUUGGGGAACAUCCUGUGAAUUGGUGUCAUUUUGAUUUUCCUGGAGGAUUUUUGAGGUCAGCGUGACUGCUGUCACUAACUAAAAUAAAAUCCGAAGUCCCCAAGUGACUGAACAGACCCCCUCUUGGCCAAGGGGACCCCAGAGAAACCUGAAAGCUGAGCUCCCAGCCAUGAGGGGACGGGCGAUCGGACACGCUUCAUCACAGUCCCUCCCCUUUGUGGUUUAAACGACGAUGAUCGGCUGUCAUGCUAAAAUAGAGACACGAGACCGACAGCACAGACUCCUUAUGGCAAUAAGACACCAAAUUAUAAGCAGCACCUCAGGCCACGCCAGGUAAGGGUCGAGCCGCGCACUCUACACUUAGAGAACGGACUCUGCUCUCACACCACAGCGUCUUCUUUUUCUUCAGCAGCUAAACACGCACCGGCCCCGAGAUUCAAACGACUGCAGCUCAUCCACCUGCAGACGCUGGCUGACCCCGUUCCACAGCUGUGACUAUAGCUUUGAUUGGACAAGAGGUUGAUUUCAGUCUCCUGGUAAGAGACCACCAACCAUAGACCUGGUUCAGGCUGAUUAUAGAAGCUGCACACUUGUAUGCCUUCGAGUCCCUGCCUCACCUUUUGACGUGUAGGGACUCAUUGUAAUGCUUUUAAAUGUGAAGCCUCCACCCCAAAGUGAACAUGGGACGCAUGUAACGUGCAUGUUCAGUGGGCACGGCUCAGGACUCUCUUUGUGAAUAUUCAUAGCUCCUCCUGGAACCUGAAUAUGUAUGUUUGGCCAGCUCAAUUCAGCAUGAGGCUCCUGCUGCAACACCGCCUCCUUCCAGGUGCCUGCCAGCUGUUUCUGCCAGAGGCUGCGUCUCCCGGCCUGUCAGAAUGGCCACCCUGCAGGCUGUAAUCCUUUAGAAGAAAUAAAGAUCCCCUUUCCAGAUGUAUAGAUCUUGUGAUUUUUUUCCAUUCACAUCCUUGCAUCUUAUAAUGCCCUGUCUCCAUGGGGGUUACAUAGAAAGCCCUCAGCCUCUAGGGCAGAUGGAGCCAGGACUGAGGGUGGGGGUGGAGAAGGAUCAGGAGACUCACUUCAAGGACUUUCUGGUGCCGGCAGUGUAGGCUUGCCAGAUGAAAUACAGGACACCCAGCAACAUGAACUUUCGUAAUUUUUAUAGUGUAAAUGUGUUCCAAAUAUUGCAUGGGACAUGCUUAUCCUGAAGAAUUAUUCAUUGUUUAUCUGAAAUCCAAAUUUAACUAGGUGUCCUGUAUUUUUAUUUGCUAAAUCUGGUGACCCUUCACUGGGGAGACGCUUUUAAACAGCCUCAACUUAGAAAUUCUUCUCUUCCUGCCAAAAGCGCUAGGGUCUGUAUAUGGGUGCAUGGAAACACGAAAUUAUUGUCACAGGACUGAAGAGUAUGAAAGACUUCUAGUAACCACCAGCUGUGGCAGGGGCCUGUGCAGGGGGUACCCUGGCAGGGAGGAAGCUGCCUUAAUUUUCAACCUCGGACAGAAAAGCGCAUCUGUUAGACACAGCAGAAAGCAGACCUACAUGUAUGGUUAAUAAGGACUAUGUAUUUGACUGCUGUGGGUUCAAUUGUGUCCCUGCGAGAGACACAUUGAAGUCCUAACCCCUGCUGCUUCAGCAUUUGGCUUUAUUUGGAAAUAAGGUCACUGCCAGUGCAGUUAGCUGAGAUGAAAUCAUACUGGUGUCUGGUGGGCCCUUAUUCCAAUAUGACUCGUGAUAUCACAAGAAGAGGAGGACAGACACAGAGACACACUCCAGAGGGAGAAGGCCAUGUGACAGCCACGGACUGCUGGAAGCAGCGGAAUCUAAAGGCAAGGCAGGGAACAGAUUCUCCCUCCCAGUCCUUCGAGAGAACCAACUCUGCCGACAGCUUGAUUUCAGAAUUCUGGUUUCCAGAACGGUGAGAGAAUAAAUUCCUGUUGUUUUAAGCCUCCCGUUUGUGGUGCUUUGUUAUGGCAGCCCCAGGGACUAAUGCAGUCACCGUCACUUGAUUGCAGACAAAACGACUGAGGGUUCUCUGCAAUGAAUUUCAAGUUCUGAAUUGAAAGAGGCUUCAGAGCCUGAAGAAAGAGGCGAUGCCAGCACUCUCUGGAGUGGGAUCCACAGAAGCAGAGAAAGCCCAGGGGAUGAGCCAACCCAGAAUCCAAACGCCCGUGGAUCGGGCCAGACCCAGGACGGCGCUAUCUUGCACACCCAUCACAGGCUUGGGGACACUAGAACUGCACUGUCAGAUAUUCCUGACUUCAUGUGUGUGUGUUUGUGUGUGUGUAGAUCAGGCCAUAUGAUUUACUUGCUGCACUCUGAGCGAUGCUGUGUAGAUAAAGCUAUAUUAUCUAUUUGCUACACUCUGAAUAAUGCCUUCCUCAGUGAUAAUCAUAAUCAAGUGAGCUUUGGAUUGUCAUUAUGAAGUCUCAAAUUAAAACAAUUGGUUGAGAUACUGCCAGCAAGGCAACUAGAUCGGGGAUUGCAGCUGCUGAUGCCAGUCUAGUAUUUAGGUAAGAGGAUGCCUCCACCCUCUUAGAGCAUGUGGCUUGCACAUCCAUUCUUUCAGUGCAGGAAGGGCUGGAGUGUCCACUCCCUACUCCCAACCCCAUCAGUUGUUGUAUGGUCCAAAAUGCAAAGUAAUUUUAAUGUGAUCCAAGAUGCAUAUAAAAACAUUUUAAAAACAGAUAUGUUAUGCAUUGCUUAGAAUGAUGCACCAUCCGCUUCAUGAACAAGCAAGAACUAACUCUAUCAUUGACUUCAUCCACAAAUACUAGAGGUGAUGAACUUGAGGUCAAAGUUCCGAAGUCAGACAGCAUGGGUUUAUUCAUCGCCUGCUAUGUGCAAAUCCUAGAUGUCACCAGGCUCUGCUCACUUGGUGUCUUGGCCACUCUGGGUGAUGUUUACACAAGGCUUGGUGGCUUUGAGAUGGGUUGCAAACAAGAGAUAUCAGUUGUUGGACUUUUGCUUAUAGCUUGGGGUUGGACAUCCUCUAUCCCUCGAUACCUCCUUGCACCCAUCAGCCGUUAUCUUUGAAGGAAACUUUUUCCUUGAGUCUGGUUCCUUGUCUUCAGGUUCUAACCUCAUGGUUUUGGAUCCUUGUCCCUAUGGUUGUGAUCCUUCCUGUCCUUGGCUCUAGUGCUCUUUUUUUUUUUUUUUUCUAUUUCUUUCCUCUACCUGUGCACAUGACCUCUUUGAAGAGCUCACCUCCUCCAGGAAGCCUCCCUGGAAUCACCCUUUUGCCUUCCAUUCUCCUUGUUUAUACAGUCCAUGUCAGUAUAUCCAAAUUGAAUUAUCGCGGUGUGCUGCUUUGCAAUGUGUAUCUGAUUUCACCAAAACCCUCUACUGUCUCUAAUCCCGGGUAUCCAAUUUCAUGUGAAGUUCAGUGAUGUGCUCCUCCCUCCUCCUCUUGCACGCAUGAGCAGGUACUCAACACUUUCUGGUCCAGCUACAUGUGACAUGAGGCCACUCACGCUCUUUUUAAUUAACCCUUAUGACAAUCAUGUGCGUUAUGGAGAAAAUUAAUGGAGGAAAAAUUACAGAGUCACCCGAAACAGUUGCGCUGCUUAUCACCCGGUGUUUGAGCCUGUUUCCCCUGUAAUUAGAUUACAUGUGAGGCAGCCCCAGCUAAUUGUCUGUGCCACCCACCGGGGAACUCCAGCUCUAUCUGUGAACACCCAGGCCUUCCCGCCGCAGGACAGAUGUUGGGUGAGGCUUGCCUCCCACGCAAACAUCUGCUCUGUUGUUCCGAGUCAGUCACGAGAGCCAGCCGGCUUAGACAAGCAGGGGAUGAAUUCCUGGGCGAGAUGCUUGAUCCUGCCAAGUUUCUGAGCACCAGGCUUGGGCCUCUUGAACAGUUCCCUGCAUCUUCCAUGAUCGGCCAGUGCCUCUGCUUCUGCAUUUAGAAACCAGAGUUCACUUCUGGUGGCCUCAAGCCAAAAUGAGUCUACGAACCAGAAGUCUCUUGACAUUGACACUGAUAAACUUUGAUAUGGAAGCAUUUUUGUUUUUGGCAACCAUCAAUUUUUUUUUGUUUUUCCUCAAACACAUGCAUGGAUGAUGUGAGAACCGGUACCUGGAAACUGAGAGACUGCCGCAUGUGUUUCGGGCUCCCAGCUCUAUCCAUAACUGUCUUUGGGGGCUUCCUAGGCAACCUGG